UACGAAGGGCCCGAGCGUUAUUCGGAUUUACUAGGCUUAAAGCGUACGCAGGCGGACAUGCAGGUAUCGAGUGAAAUCCCUCGGCUCAACCGAGGAACUGCUCGGUAAACCGCAUGUCUUGAGACAAAUAGAGGCUGUCGGAACGAUAGGUGGAGUGGUGAUAUGCGUUGAUAUCUAUCGGAACGCCAAAGGUGAAGACAGGCAGCUGGGUUUGUUCUGACGCUCAUGUACGAAAGCGUGGGGAGCGAACGGG
rnacentral:misc_RNA from 1 species